rnacentral:rRNA from 1 species
GACACAUGAACAUUGACAAUUCGAACGCACAUUGCGGCCCUAG